rnacentral:rRNA from 1 species
UACGGAGGGGGCUAGCGUUGUUCGGAAUUACUGGGCGUAAAGCGCGCGUAGGCGGCCAACUAAGUCAGACGUGAAAUCCCUCGGCUUAACCGGGGAACUGCGUCUGAUACUGGAUGGCUUGAGUUUGGGAGAGGGACGCGGAAUUCCAGGUGUAGCGGUGAAAUGCGCAGAUAUCAGGAGGAACACCGGUGGCGAAGGCGGGUCUCUGGGCCGAUACUGACGCUGAGGAGCGAAAGCGUGGGGAGCGAACAGG